rnacentral:rRNA from 1 species
AUUGAACGCUGGCGGCAUGCCUUACACAUGCAAGUCGAACGGCAGCGCGGGGCAACCUGGCGGCGAGUGGCGAACGGGUGAGUAAUAUAUCGGAACAUACCCUAGAGUGGGGGAUAACGUAGCGAAAGUUACGCUAAUACCGCAUACGCACUAAGGUGGAAAGUGGGGGAUCUUCGGACCUCAUGCUCAUGGAGUGGCCGAUAUCUGAUUAGCUAGUUGGUGAGGUAAAGGCUCACCAAGGCGACGAUCAGUAGCUGGUUUGAGAGAACGACCAGCCACACUGGAACUGAGACACGGUCCAGACUCCUACGGAGGCAGCAGUGGGGAAUUUUGGACAAUGGGGGCAACCCUGAUCCAGCAAUGCCGCGUGAGUGAAGAAGGCCUCGGGUUGUUAAAGGACUCUUUUGUUCA